rnacentral:rRNA from 1 species
GGUUAAGCGACUAAGCGUACACGGUGGAUGCCCUGGCAGUCAGAGGCGAUGAAGGACGUGCUAAUCUGCGAUAAGCGUCGGUGAGGUGAUAUGAACCGUUAUAACCGGCGAUUUCCGAAUGGGGAAACCCAGUGUGUUUCGACACACUAUCAUUAACUGAAUCCAUAGGUUAAUGAGGCGAACCGGGGGAACUGAAACAUCUAAGUACCCCGAGGAAAAGAAAUCAACCGAGAUUCCCCCAGUAGCGGCGAGCGAACGGGGAGGAGCCCAGAGCCUGAAUCAGUGUGUGUGUUAGUGGAAGCGUCUGGAAAGGCGCGCGAUACAGGGUGACAGCCCCGUACACAAAAAUGCACAUAUUGUGAGCUCGAUGAGUAGGGCGGGACACGUGGUAUCCUGUCUGAAUAUGGGGGGACCAUCCUCCAAGGCUAAAUACUCCUGACUGACCGAUAGUGAACCAGUACCGUGAGGGAAAGGCGAAAAGAACCCCGGCGAGGGGAGUGAAAAAGAACCUGAAACCGUGUACGUACAAGCAGUGGGAGCCUCUUUAUGGGGUGACUGCGUACCUUUUGUAUAAUGGGUCAGCGACUUAUAUUCUGUAGCAAGGUUAACCGAAUAGGGGAGCCGAAGGGAAACCGAGUCUUAACUGGGCGUUAAGUUGCAGGGUAUAGACCCGAAACCCGGUGAUCUAGCCAUGGG